UUAAGCUACAAAGAGCGUAGGGUGAAUAGCUAGGCACCAAGAGCCGAAGAAGGACGUGAUAAGCUGCGAAAAGCUUUGGGUAGGAGCAAAUAUCCAUUAAUCCAGAGAUAUCCGAAUGAGGGAACUCACUUAGAGCAAACAAUCUAAGUAUCCAUAUAUGAGUAAAGUAGUAUAUGAGAAGGGAACGUGGGGAACUGAAACAUCUUAGUACCCACAGGAAAAGAAAGAGAAAUCGAUUCCUAGAGUAGUGGCGAGCGAAAUAGGAAGAGCCUAAACCAUGAGUAGUAAUACACAUGGGGUUCGGACCACGAUAUAUUAUCAAUAAUUCUAAUAGAAAUGUUUUGGAAAAGCAUACCAUAGACGGUGAAAGUCCAGUAUAUGAAAGAAAAGUUGAGAUUAGUGGUAUCCAGAGUAGUACGAGACACGAGAAAUCUCGUAUGAAUAAGCGGGGACCAUCCCGUAAGGCUAAAUACUACUUGGUGACCGAUAGUGAACUAGUACCGUGAGGGAAAGGUGAAAAGAACCCCGGGAGGGGAGUGAAAUAGAACAUGAAACCCUAUGUUUACAAGCAGACAAAGCGAUUUAAGGCGCGAUGUCGUACUUUUUGUAGAACGGUCCAGCGAGUUAUUGUAUAUGGCAAGGUUAAGUUCUAAGUAAGGAACGGAGCCGAAGAGAAAUCGAGUCUGAAUAGGGCGAUAUAAGUCAUAUAUAAUAGACCCGAAACCGGGUGACCUAUCCAUGGUCAGGAUGAAGCUAGAGUAAAAUCUAGUGGAGGUCCGAACUGAUUGUCGUUAAAAAGGCACCGGAUGAACUGUGGAUAGCGGAGAAAUUCCAAUCGAACUCGGAGAUAGCUGGUUCUCCUCGAAAUAGCUUUAGGGCUAGCCUUGAGGUAAAAGAAUUAUGGGGGUAGAGCACUGAAUGAGGUAGGGGCCAAACCAGGUUACUGAACUCUAUCAAACUGCGAAUACCAUAAUUAGAAUACUCAGGAGUCAGACUGCGGGAGCUAAGUUCCGUGGUCAAAAGGGAAAGAGCCCAGAUCGUCAAUUAAGGUCCCAAAGAUAUAGCUAAGUGGGAAACGAUGUGAAAUUGCGUAAACAACCAGGAUGUUGGCUUAGAAGCAGCCAUACAUUUAAAGAGUGCGUAAUAGCUCACUGGUCGAGUGAAUUUGCGCGGAAAAUUACCGGGGCUAAGCUAUACACCGAAAUUGCGGGUUAUGAUGUAUCUAAUAAUGUGUAUCAUAAUAAGAAGAUAAAUUUUCUGUUAAAAACAUGAAAUGUUUUUAACCAAAAUGUUCAAAAGGAUAAGGUAUACAAGAAAAGGUGCAUAUUAUUAGAUACAUUGUAGCGGUAGAGGAGCAUUCUGUAGUAGGGUGAAGUAUGAUCGAAAGGACAUAUGGACGAGGCAGAAGAGAGAAUGCUGGAAUAAGUAGCGAGAGCAAGGUGAGAAUCCUUGCCGUCGAAAGUCUAAGGUUUCCUGGGGAAGGUUCGUCCGCCCAGGGUAAGUCGGGACCUAAGGUGAGGCCAAGGAGGCGUAGCCGAUGGAUAGCAGGUAUAAAAUUCCUGCACUACCGAAAUACUUAAAAACGAUAAGGGACGCAGGAGAGGAAGGAAAUCCGGGAAGAGGAAAAACCGGAGCCGAAAGGCAUAGUGAAAAUUUAAAGUAACGAAGUUCCAAGAAUCACACUGACGAGAAAAGCUUAUUGACAUUGUAUUAAGGUACCCGUACCGCAAACCGACACAGGUAGAUGAGGAGAGGAUCCUAAGACGAGCGAGAGAAGUACUGUUAAGGAACUCGGCAAACUAACCCCGUAACUUAGGGAGAAGGGGUACCUAUGUAAAAGUAGGUCGCAGAGAAGAGUCCCAAGCAACUGUUUAACAAAAACACAGGUUUCUGCUAAAUCGAAAGAUGAAGUAUAGGAGCUGACGCCUGCCCAGUGCUGGAAGGUUAAGGGAAAGAGUUAGGGUUAAACCGAAGCUUAGAACUGAAGCCCCAGUGAACGGCGGCCGUAACUAUAACGGUCCUAAGGUAGCGAAAUUCCUUGUCAGGUAAGUUCUGACCCGCACGAAAGGCGUAAUGAUUUGGGCACUGUCUCGACAAUGUCCCCGGCGAAAUUGUAGUACUAGUGAAGAUGCUAGUUACCUGCGACAAGACAGAAAGACCCCAUGGAGCUUUACUGCAG
rnacentral:rRNA from 1 species